UCGCCAUUAUCUUUUCCUCCAAUACGGGAUCAAUCCCAUGGGUCUUCCGCUUCCGGUUGUUUCGCCAGAAGCAUUGCCGGGUAGCCAAGCACGGACAGGAUAACCGCUGAAAGCAUCUAAGCGGGAAGCCCCCCUCGAGAUGAAUUCUCCCUAUGAGACUCGUGGCAGACUACCACGUUGAUAGGCCGGAGGUGUAAGCGCAGUAAUGUGUUGAGCUGACCGGUACUAAUCAGUCCAUUGGCUUUAUAUC
rnacentral:rRNA from 1 species